GUCCUUCUGAGUAAAUAGAAGGUCUGACCUGCCCGGUGAAUGUUUUAACGGCCGCGGUAUUUUGACCGUGCGAAGGUAGCAUAAUCAUUAGUCUUUUAAUAGGGGGCUGGAAUGAAAGGUUUGACGUAACAUAAGCUGUUUCAUUUAUCUAAAUUGAACUUAACCUUUAAGUUAAAAGGCUUAUUUUUUUUUGGAGGACGAGAAGACCCUAUAGAGCUUUACAUUGUUUAUUUUUUUUAUAUUUUAGUUGUAUAAUUUUUUUUAUUUAGAUAAAUAUUGUUUUGUUGGGGUGACAGAAAAUAUAUAAUUAACUUUUAUUAUACUAUUUACACUGAUAUGUGUGUAUUGGAUCCAAUUUUAUUGAUCAAUAGUUUAAGUUACCUUAGGGAUAACAGCGUAAUCUUCUUUCAGAGUUCAAAUUUACAAGAAGGAUUGCGACCUCGAUGUUGGAUUAAGAUAAUAAUUGGGUGUAGCCGCUUAAUUAAUAGGUCUGUUCGACCUUUAAAUUCUUACAUGAUCUGAGUUCAGACCGG
rnacentral:rRNA from 1 species